GAUGAACGCUGGCGGCGUGCCUAAUACAUGCAAGUCGAGCGAACAGACGAGGAGCUUGCUCCUCUGACGUUAGCGGCGGACGGGUGAGUAACACGUGGAUAACCUACCUAUAAGACUGGGAUAACUUCGGGAAACCGGAGCUAAUACCGGAUAAUAUAUUGAACCGCGUGGUUCAAUAGUGAAAGACGGUUUUGCUGUCACUUAUAGAUGGAUCCGCGCCGCUUUAGCUAGUUGGUAAGGUAACGGCUUACCAAGGCGACGAUGCGUAGCCGACCUGAGAGGGUGGUCGGCCACACUGGAACUGGAACACGGUCCAGACUCCUAAGGGAGGCAGCAGUAGGGAAUCGUCCGCAAUGGGCGAAAGCCUGACGGAGCAACGCCGCGUGAGUGAUGAAGGUCUUCGGAUCGUAAAACUCUGUUAUUAGGGAAGAACAAAUGUGUAAGUAACUAUGCACGUCUUGACGGUACCUAAUCAGAAAGCCACGGCUAACUACGUG
rnacentral:rRNA from 1 species